UAAGAUGUUAACUUGUUUUAUUCUCUGUGAAUUUGCAUUGAGUCUGUCAUAUGCCCCACUCCAUCAUUUUAAUAUUUGAAAUGGCAUUCAUUUUCCCUCUCUGUUCAUCAUUAAGUGGGGUCAGAUUCCAAAAGAUUCCACCUCUCUCAGGCUGGCUCUCUUUCGUCUGACUUCCAUUGUGAAAAUUUCUCAUUCCCCUUUUUCUUAAGAGAGGCUGACAGAAUCUAGGUAUAAAUCAAUUGGAAACCAGAAGAAAAAAACAAGUAAAAACAAAAACUACGUGCCUAAAAAUGACAAAAAAA
rnacentral:lncRNA from 1 species